GACGAACGCUGGCGGCGUGCUUAACACAUGCAAGUCGAGCGGAGCGGCGAACGGGUGAGUAACGCGUGAGUAACUGCCCCCCUCUCUGGGAUAACAGUUGGAAACGGCUACUAAUACCGGAUAGUGGGGGAUGACUCGCGUCCUAUCAGCUGGUUGGUGGGGUAGUGGCCUACCAAGGCGGUGACGGGUAGCCGGCCUGAGAGGGUGACCGGCCAAAUGUGGCUGAGAUACGGCCCAGACUCCUACGGGAGGCAGCAGUGGGGGAUAUUGCACAAUGGGCGAAAGCCGGAUGCAGCGACGCCGCGUGGGGGAUGAAGGCGUUGGGGUUGUAAACCUCUUUCGCUAUCGAAAGGGUAGGUGGAGAAGAAGCGCCGGCUAACUACGUGCCAGCCGCCGCGGUAAUAC
rnacentral:rRNA from 1 species